GAUGAACGCUGGCGGCGUGCCUAAUACAUGCAAGUCGAGCGAACAGACGAGGAGCUUGCUCCUCUGACGUUAGCGGCGGACGGGUGAGUAACACGUGGAUAACCUACCUAUAAGACUGGGAUAACUUCGGGAAACCGGAGCUAAUACCGGAUCAUAUAUUGAACCGCAUGGUUCAAUAGUGAAAGACGGUUUUGCUGUCACUUAUAGCUGGAUCCGCGCCGCAUUAGCUAGUUGGUAAGGUAACGGCUUACCAAGGCAACGAUGCGUAGCCGACCUGAGAGGGUGAUCAGCCACACUGGAACUGAGACACGGUCCAGACUCCUACGGGAGGCAGCAGUAGGGAAUCUUCCGCAAUGGGCGAAAGCCUGACGGAGCAACGCCGCGUGAGUGAUGAAGGUCUUCGGAUCGUAAAACUCUGUUAUUAGGGAAGAACAGAUGUGUAAGUAACUAUGCACGUCUUGACGGUACCUAAUCAGAAAGCAACGGCUAACUACGUG
rnacentral:rRNA from 1 species